GGAGAGAUGGCUGAGCGGUCUAUGGCAGCGGUUUUGAAAACCGCCGUGGGUGCAAGCCCACCAAGGGUUCGAAUCCCUUUCUCUCCGCCA
rnacentral:tRNA from 1 species